rnacentral:rRNA from 1 species
UGGGGAAUAUUGGACAAUGGGGGCAACCCUGAUCCAGCCAUGCCGCGUGAGUGAAGAAGGCCUUCGGGUUGUAAAGCUCUUUCGACGGGGACGAUGAUGACGGUACCCGUAUAAGAAGCCCCGGCAAACUUCGUGCCAGCAGCCGCGGUAAUACGAAGGGAGCUAGCGUUGUUCGGAAUUACUGGGCGUAAAGGGCGCGUAGGCGGUAAGAUAAGUCAGAUGUGAAAGCCUUGGGCUUAACCUGAGAACUGCAUUUGAUACUGUCUAACUAGAGGACGAGAGAGGAAAGUGGAAUUACGAGUGUAGAGGUGAAAUUCGUAGAUAUUCGUAAGAACACCAGUGGCGAAGGCGACUUUCUGGCUCGUUUCUGACGCUAAGGCGCGAAAGCGUGGGGAGCAAACA